UACGGGGGGAGCAAGCGUUGUUCGGAAUUACUGGGCGUAAAGGGCUCGUAGGCGGCCAACUAAGUCGGAUGUGAAAUCCCCAGGCUUAACCUGGGAACUGCAUCCGAUACUGGAUGGCUUGAAUCCGGGAGAGGGAUGCAGAAUUCCAGGUGUAGCGGUGAAAUGCGUAGAUAUCUGGAGGAAUACCGGUGGCGAAGGCGGCAUCCUGGACCGGCAUUGACGCUGAGUGAGCGAAAGCCAGGGGAGCAAACGGG
rnacentral:rRNA from 1 species